UUACGGCCAUAUCACGUUGAAACACCGGUUCUUGUAAGAUCACAGAAGUUAAGUAACGUCGAGCCUGGUCAGUAACAAGAUGGGUGACCUACUUGCGAACACCGGAUGCU